UACAGAGGUCUCGAGCGUUGUUCGGAUUCAUUGGGCGUAAAGGGUGUGUAGGUGGCGCCGUAAGUCGGGUGUGAAAUUUCGGAGCUUAACUCCGAAACUGCAUUCGAUACUGCGGUGCUUGAGGACUGGAGAGGAGACUGGAAUUCAUGGUGUAGCAGUGAAAUGCGUAGAGAUCAUGAGGAAGACCAGUGGCGAAGGCGGGUCUCUGGACAGUUCCUGACACUGAGACACGGAAGGCCCAGGGGAGCAAAACGGG
rnacentral:rRNA from 1 species